rnacentral:rRNA from 1 species
UGCCAGCCGCCGCGGUAAUACGGAUGGUGCGAGCGUUAAUCGGAAUUACUGGGCGUAAAGGGCUCGUAGGCGGUUCAACAAGUCGGUCGUGAAAGCCCGGGGCUCAACCCCGGGAGGCCGGUCGAAACUGUUGUGACUAGAGUUCGGUAGAGGUGAGUGGAAUUCCCGGUGUAGCGGUGGAAUGCGCAGAUAUCGGGAGGAACACCAUUAGCGAAGGCGGCUCACUGGGCCGAUACUGACGCUGAGGAGCGAAAGCGUGGGGAGCAAACAGGAUUAGAUA